rnacentral:rRNA from 1 species
UACGGAGGGUGCAAGCGUUAUCCGGAUUCACUGGGUUUAAAGGGUGCGUAGGUGGGCAGGUAAGUCAGUGGUGAAAUCUCCGGGCUUAACCCGGAAACUGCCAUUGAUACUAUCAGUCUUGAAUACCGUGGAGGUAAGCGGAAUAUGUCAUGUAGCGGUGAAAUGCUUAGAUAUGACAUAGAACACCAAUUGCGCAGGCAGCUAUCUACAGGAAUAUUGACACUGAGGCACGAAAGCGUGGGGAUCAAACAGG